CGCUGGGGCCGAGUAUUGUCCUAAAGGCCGAAAAAAGAGGAAAGCGGGGAGGUUGGGGGACAGCCACGAGACCGGGAGAGGAUUUAUAACAUUUUCUUUCGCCGACAAUACUGCAAAAUGUGUGAAGGAGAGGGCGCCGCCGGGACAGCGUGAGCGCGGGCCAGUAGUCAUCAAGCAUCUACUACGUCCCAGGCACGGGCACCUCAGUAGUGAACAAGACAGACCCAGUCUCUGCCCUCACGAAGCUUCCGAACGAGUGCGGGGACAUAGAUGAUGAACAACACGUUUUCCCCCUACCGGAAAUCUGAUGGGCUUAUGACAUCAUGGCUGGCUGCUGAGCGAUGAAGUGGAUGCCACAAAGAAAUCCGACAUAUCAGAUGGAUUUUGAAAUCAGUUUCCCUCCGGCCAUAGGAGCAGGCGUGAAGUCAGGAGAAUGUGAGCUUUGUUUAAAAAAACAACAAAUAAAAGUAAGCCUUGCCCUGUAUUAAAUACAGUUUUUUAAAGCAAACA